rnacentral:rRNA from 1 species
GACGAACGCUGGCGGCGUGCUUAACACAUGCAAGUCGAACGGUAAGGCCCUUCGGGGUACACGAGUGGCGAACGGGUGAGUAACACGUGGGUGAUCUGCCCUGCACUUCGGGAUAAGCCUGGGAAACUGGGUCUAAUACCGGAUAGGACUCCGGACUGCAUGGUCUGGGGUGGAAAGCUUUUGCGGUGUGGGAUGGGCCCGCGGCCUAUCAGCUUGUUGGUGGGGUGAUGGCCUACCAAGGCGACGACGGGUAGCCGGCCUGAGCGGGUGACCGGCCACACUGGGACUGAGAUACGGCCCAGACUCCUACGGGAGGCAGCAGUGGGGAAUAUUGCGCAAUGGGCGCAAGCCUGAUGCAGCGACGCCGCGUGAGGGAUGACGGCCUUCGGGUUGUAAACCUCUUUCAGCAUCGACGAAGCGAAAGUGACGGUAGGUGCAGAAGAAGGACCGGCCAACUACGUGCCAGCCGCCGCUGUAA